rnacentral:rRNA from 1 species
GACGAACGCUGGCGGCGUGCUUAACACAUGCAAGUCGAACGGAAAGGCCCCUUUGGGGGUACUCGAGUGGCGAACGGGUGAGUAACACGUGAGUAACCUGCCCUUGACUUCGGGAUAACUUCAGGAAACUGGGGCUAAUACCGGAUAGGAAUCCUUGCUGCAUGGUGGGGGUUGGAAAGCUUCGGCGGUUUUGGAUGGACUCGCGGCUUAUCAGCUUGUUGGUGGGGUAGUGGCUUACCAAGGCUUUGACGGGUAGCCGGCCUGAGAGGGCGACCGGCCACAUUGGGACUGAGAUACGGCCCAGACUCCUACGGGAGGCAGCGGUGGGGAAUAUUGCACAAUGGGCGGAAGCCCGAUGCAGCAACGCCGCGUGCGGGAUGACGGCCUUCGGGUUGUAAACCGCUUUCAGCAGGGGCGAAGCUUGUGGUGACGGUACCUGCAGAAGAAGCACCGGCUAACUACGUG